UGACUCAUGACUUUGUCUGUGUUGUUGCCUGUAAACACAAUAAACUCGAUUGCAUCAGAUUCUGCCUCUCUCCAGUGCCUUAUUAAGUACCUGCCAGCUGAACCUAAGAUACUGAGUUGACAACAGAAGACUUUUUAGAAGAAACAAGGAGGACAGGAUCGGGAGCCGCCAGGCCCAUUUCCAGGCACCGAUUUGUGUCACUUCAGCUGACACUGCUUGAAGAUUAUGCCAAUGGUAGGAUCAGGAUGGAGAGAGUUUUUAGGGACCACGGAGAUUUCCUGGCCCAUGACGAUGACUGGCUAAUAAGCCGAUUUAGAUUCCCUAGAGCAGUGCUCUUGGAUCUAUGUGCUGAACUGGGUCCAGUGUUAGACAGACUGACCCGCUGGAACCGCGCCAUCCCGAUGCAUUUACGGGUGCUGCUGACCACUCUUGGGUUUCUGGCAACAGGUUCUUUCCAGCGAGAAUUAGCCAACAGGUGACAGUGGCUACCCCCUGGCUCCUCACCCCAUUCACCAACCCGCAGAGCGCAGAAGAGGUGCGCUUUAAUGUGGCUCGUGCGCGCUGCACUGUGUAGCGAACUAUCGGCCUCCUUGAAAAACCUGUGGAGGUGUUUAGAUGCCUCGGGGGGCAGACUGCUCUAUCACCCUAGCCUGAGUGUCAGACUGAAGCUCCCAGAACCUUCAGUCUGACAUCGCCUCCAUUGAAGGCGAUUUACAAGGGGGAGGGAAUUUGAUUUUUCCCUAGCCAAUCAGUAGAGAUCAACGACUCACCCAGAAUCUGACGUCAUUAGUAUCCAUGCCUCGGGGGUGCCGAAAACAAGCGAGCAUUACCCGUUCAAAAUGUCUCCGUCGUCGUGCACGCCCAGCUGCAUCGCCGUUAAAUCCAGUUUAGCAGCUUCCUUAAUUUGAUCCUCCAUUAACGCGAGUAGUCGCGAAAUACCUCGAUAGCAUCGUUAAUGUGGUCUGUAGGAUCUGUAGCGGUCGCCAUUGUUGCUAUUCUCACCAGUUACCCACCGGCGCACAGCUUGACAUCAGCGUGGCGCUGAUUGGCUAAUCGCUAGACCCACCCCCACCCCCGGCGUUCAUUGGUCCUUCCAUCGUUUGGACGAGAUAAAUCACAAAUUCAUUGCAGUAUGCCAGACCAGAGAUGCAAGCCUACUCAGUUGAGUGGGCGGGGUCUAUGGUCUGGAACCAGGCUACUAUCACCCAGCAAAGGUGUGUAAAAUUAUUAGGGCGCGUGGUGUUCUGCACAACCUGGCACUGAGGGAUGCCAUUCCCCUCCCGCCUGGCCUCCCUCCCCCACAGCAUGAGGACCCCGACCUACAGCCACCUCCCCGACAUGAAAAAUUUCAACAGGGAACAAGGCUCCGUGAAGGUGUCAUGCGGUGUUUGUAAUAAGACAGUGCUGAGCAGCGCACUGGUGCUGGGGACAGCCAGGCCUGCAGCCACGGUGCCAGGACACGCCGUGCCGAGAACCUCCUCGUCACCCAACACAACACAUAAGUCCACUGUGCCUUUUCACAAGUCUCUGU